GGAUUGUGGCUCAGUGGUAGAGUACUUGCCUAGCACAUGGGAGCCACUGGGUUCAAUACCCAGCACCA
rnacentral:tRNA from 1 species